UAGUGCAAUGGCAUAAGCCAGCUUGACUGCGAGCGUGACGGCGCGAGCAGGUGCGAAAGCAGGUCAUAGUGAUCCGGUGGUUCUGAAUGGAAGGGCCAUCGCUCAACGGAUAAAAGGUACUCCGGGGAUAACAGGCUGAUACCGCCCAAGAGUUCAUAUCGACGGCGGUGUUUGGCACCUCGAUGUCGGCUCAUCACAUCCUGGGGCUGAAGUAGGUCCCAAGGGUAUGGCUGUUCGCCAUUUAAAGUGGUACGCGAGCUGGGUUUAGAACGUCGUGAGACAGUUCGGUCCCUAUCUGCCGUGGGCGCUGGAGAACUGAGGGGGGCUGCUCCUAGUACGAGAGGACCGGAGUGGACGCAUCACUGGUGUUCGGGUUGUCAUGCCAAUGGCACUGCCCGGUAGCUAAAUGCGGAAGAGAUAAGUGCUGAAAGCAUCUAAGCACGAAACUUGCCCCGAGAUGAGUUCUCCCUGAGACUUUAGGUCUCCUGAAGGAACGUUGAAGACGACGACGUUGAUAGGCCGGGUGUGUAAGCGCAGCGAUGCGUUGAGCUAACCGGUACUAAUGAACCGUGAGGCUUAACCUU
rnacentral:rRNA from 1 species